GGGAUAUUUUGAUAUAAUUCUGUGUGUAUUUGUCCAUUCGAAUGUGUAAGAAUGCGAAAAAGAGAGCACAGUCCAGUGUUCGCGUAUAUAAGAGGUGGCUUUUGUGUGUGUGUGUGAGUGUGUGUGUGUGUGUUUG